UUCCGGUUGAUCCUGCCGGACCUGACUGCUAUCGGAUUGAUACUAAGCCAUGCGAGUCAUUGUAGUAAUACAAGGCAGACGGCUCAGUAACGCGUAGUCAACCUACCCUAUGGACGAGGAUAAUCUCGGGAAACUGAGAAUAAUACUCGAUAGACCAUUAUGCCUGGAACGGUUUAUGGUUAAAAUGAUUCGUCGCCAUAGGAUGGGACUGCGGCCUAUCAGCUUGUUGGUGAGGUAAUGGCCCACCAAGGCGAUUACAGGUACGGGCUCUGAGAGGAGAAGCCCGGAGAUGGGUACUGAGACAAGGACCCAGGCCCUAUGGGGCGCAGCAGGCGAGAAAACUUUGCAAUGUGCGAAAGCACGACAAGGUUAGUCCGAGUGAUUUCUGCUAAAGAAAUCUUUUGCAAGUUAUAAAACCACUAGUGAAUAAGGGGUGGGCAAGUUCUGGUGUCAGCCGCCGCGGUAAAACCAGCACCUCAAGUGGUCAGGAUGAUUAUUGGGCCUAAAGCAUCCGUAGCCUGCUCUGUUAGUUUUCGGUUAAAUCCAUGUGCUCAACACAUGGGCUGCCGAAAAUACUGCAGGGCUAGGGAGUGGGAGAGGUAGACGGUACUCAGUAGGAAGGGGUAAAAUCCUUUGAUCUAUUGAUGACCACCUGUGGCGAAGGCGGUCUACCAGAACACGUUCGACGGUGAGGGAUGAAAGCUGGGGGAGCAAACCGGAUUAGAUACCCGGGUAGUCCCAGCUGUAAACGAUGCAGACUCGAUGAUGCAUUGGCUUAUUGCCAAUGCAGUGUCGCAGGGAAGCCGUUAAGUCUGCCGCCUGGGAAGUACGUACGCAAGUAUGAAACUUAAAGGAAUUGGCGGGGGAGCACCACAAGGGGUGAAGCCUGCGGUUCAAUUGGAGUCAACGCCGGG
rnacentral:rRNA from 1 species